CAAUAGCGUAUAUUAAAGUUGUUGCGGUUAAAAAGCUCGUAGUUGGAUUUCUGCUGAGAACGACCGGUCCGCCCUUUGGGUGUGUAUCUGGCUCUUUCUUGGCAUCUUCUUGGUGAACGUUGCUGCACUUGACUGUGUGGAGCGCUACCCAGGACUUUUACUUUGAGGAAAUUAGAGUGUUUCAAGCAGGCAUACGCCUUGAAUACAUUAGCAUGGAAUAAUAAGAUAGGACCUCGGUUCUAUUUUGUUGGUUUCUAGAGCUGAGGUAAUGAUUAAUAGGGAUAGUUGGGGGCAUUCGUAUUUAACUGGCAGAGGUGAAAUUCUUGGAUUUGUUAAAGACGGACUACUGCGAAAGCAUUUGCCAAGGAUGUUUUCAUUG
rnacentral:rRNA from 1 species